rnacentral:rRNA from 1 species
GUUUUCUUCCUCUGGGGGGGGGGUGGACCCCCCCCCCUAUAUUUUUUCUUUUCUAUUAGUAGUUCUUCCGCCCCACCGGNCCUNARGGYGNCUUACCAUGCAAKUCGAACGAUGAACCUCAYUUGUGGGGGGAUUAGUGGCGAACGGGUGAGUAACACGUGAGUAACCUGCCCUUGACUCUGGGAUAAGCCUGGGAAACUGGGUCUAAUACCGGAUAUGACCUUCCAUCGCAUGGUGGUUGGUGGAAAGCUUUUGUGGUUUUGGAUGGACUCGCGGCCUAUCAGCUUGUUGGUGGGGUAAUGGCCUACCAAGGCGACGACGGGUAGCCGGCCUGAGAGGGUGACCGGCCACACUGGGACUGAGACACGGCCCAGACUCCUACGGGAGGCAGCAGUGGGGAAUAUUGCACAAUGGGCGCAAGCCUGAUGCAGCGACGCCGCGUGAGGGAUGACGGCCUUCGGGUUGUAAACCUCUUUCAGUAGGGAAGAAGCGAGAGUGACGGUACCUGCAGAAGAAGCGCCGGCUAACUACGUGCCAGCAGCCGCGGUAAUACGUAGGGCGCAAGCGUUAUCCGGAAUUAUUGGGCGUAAAGAGCUCGUAGGCGGUUUGUCGCGUCUGCCGUGAAAGUCCGGGGCUCAACUCCGGAUCUGCGGUGGGUACGGGCAGACUAGAGUGAUGUAGGGGAGACUGGAAUUCCUGGUGUAGCGGUGAAAUGCGCAGAUAUCAGGAGGAACACCGAUGGCGAAGGCAGGUCUCUGGGCAUUAACUGACGCUGAGGAGCGAAAGCAUGGGGAGCGAACAGGAUUAGAUACCCUGGUAGUCCAUGCCGUAAACGUUGGGCACUAGGUGUGGGGGACAUUCCACGUUUUCCGCGCCGUAGCUAACGCAUUAAGUGCCCCGCCUNGGGGAGUACGGCCGCAAGGCUAAAACUCAAAGGAAUUGACNGGGGGCCCGCACAAGCNGGCGGAGCAUGCGGAUUAAUUCGAUGCAACGCGAAGAACCUUACCNAAGGCUUGACAUGAACCGGACCGCUGCAGAAAUGUGGUUUCCCCUUUGGGGCUNGGUUUACAGGUGGUGCAUGGUUGUCGUCAGCUCGUGUCGUGAGAUGUUGGGUUAAGUNCCCGCAACGAGCGCAACCCUCGUUCUAUGUUGCCAGCACGUGAUGGUGGGGACUCAUAGGAGACUGCCGGGGUCAACUCGGAGGAAGGUGGGGACGACGUCAAAUCAUCAUGCCCCUUAUGUCUUGGGCUUCACGCAUGCUACAAUGGCCGGUACAAAGGGUUGCGAUACUGUGAGGUGGAGCUAAUCCCAAAAAGCCGGUCUCAGUUCGGAUUGGGGUCUGCAACUCGACCCCAUGAAGUCGGAGUCGCUAGUAAUCGCARANUCMGCAAMWKCYUCWUAGSYMAYCCCCGGAAUAACACCAAACCCUUCGGGGGGAAAUUUCCCGGGCCCCGUUGGGCGAAGCCCCCCCCCCGCCCCGAAAAAACUCAACACAGACAAAAAGAAAAAUACAAGGUUCCCGGUUGCCCGGGGGGGGG